rfam:Ciona savignyi cont_51866, whole genome shotgun sequence.
UGUCCUCAGUCCCGGGUCGUCUCGGCGCGGUUCCGAGCGGUCGCUCCCUCGCGAGGUGCCGCGGGUCAGCGGCUGACGCCAGCCACCUUCCCGACCCGUCUUGAAACACGGACCAAGGAGUCUAACAUGUGCGCGAGCCGCGGGGCAGUACGAAACCCGUAAGGCGAAAUGAAGGUGAACGCCGGCGCGGUCCGGCGGAGGUUGGAUCCCGUCCCGUCGGGGCGGGCGCACUACCGGCCGAUCUUCUCCGCCCUGUCGGCGAGGUCGAGCGAGAGCGUGCAAGUCGGGACCCGAAAGAUGGUGAACUAUGCCUGAGGAGGUUGAAGCCAGAGGAAACUCUGGUGGAGGACCGUAGCGAUUCUGACGUGCAAAUCGAUCGUCAAAUUUGGGUAUAGGGGCGAAAGACUAAUCGAACCGUCUAGUAGCUGGUUCCCUUCGAAGUUUCCCUCAGGAUAGCUGGCGCUCUGUCGCAGUUUUAUCUGGUAAAGCGAAUGAUUAGAGGUUUUGGGGGGCGAAACGCCCUCAACCUAUUCUCAAACUUUAAAUUGGUAAGAAGCCCGACUCGCUCGUUUGGAGCCGGGCAUGGAAUGCGAGU